UCCACCACUGAGUACAAAUCUGUCAGUCUGCGUUAUUCAUUGUCUAAUUCUUUAUUCUGCCCACUUAUUCUUUUGGGUUGGGAGACACAGUGAGCAUUCUUCCAUCCAAAGGUUAAAGCAAUAUUUACAAGUCCUUUAAACAGAGAAGCUGAGCAGCCCGCCCUGCAAAGGCAAGCAUCCAUCCAGCAGAAGAGUCAGACUGGUUGGCCGGAGACCACUGGAGAAGGACAGUUAAGGGGCUAGAGGUGCAAGCAAGGAGAGAAAACAGGACACCCUGAAGCUAAUCAGGGUGGUCAAAGAGGAAAACGGAGAACUGAGAAAGGGGAGGAAACUGUACGCACAGAACUGCAAGGAGGAAAACCACAAGGAGAGCAGACCUACACUAUGAGCAACCCCAAAUAUGUGAAGAUCAAAGACAGCAUACCUGCCACUCAGAAUCUGCCUCCUUAUGAAGAGCCUGAUGCAAUGAAACCUCCGGCUGGGCCAGCACCCCUUGAGGGCUAUGGGGCACCUCCCCAGUACCAGCCUUAUUAUAGCCCACCUGGAGCAGGAUUCAACCAAGGACCGGUCCUUCAACCACCACAGACCAUUGUCAUCACACGGGUCCAGCCUACCAAUGAACCUGAUCACCUGGCCUACUCCAUCUUUACCAUGCUUUGCUGUUGCCUACCUCUGGGCAUUGCUGCUUUGGUUUACUCUGUACAGACGCAAGAAGCCAACCGCGUUGGAAACAGUGUUACUGCCCGGCGAAGCUCAAGGCUGGCGCUCCUCUUGGCCCAUACUGCACUCGGAGUGGGUCUCGGCUUGUUGAUUCUGUACAUUGUCUUUUUGGUGAUCAGUUCUCAACAGACAAUCUACAAGCCUCCAAAUGAGCCCUGAGAAUGCACAGCACUGACACGAUGUUCGUAUCUGAAUCGGAAGUCCCCACCUGACCACUCACCCCAACCCAACGACGCACAAGCAAGAGAAGUCCCGGUUUGAGGUCACACUCUUGGAAUCGUUCCAACAAGGGCACGUUCACAUGAGCAUAUAUGCCUUGUGAUUUCUGCACACUUGACUUGACGCCCAGAAACAGAAUGCAUCAACUGCAAGCCAAUGCACUUGAGGGGACGUCAAAUGAUCCAAAAGUUGCAUCUCCCCAUAGAUUUACAGUUGCCCAUCCACAUUAAUUGAUGAACCUCGUGUGUGAUCCGGCUCCCCCAUACACAAACAUCCCAAACCAAAACAAUAGAAUGAGGACAGGCAAACAGAUAGGCACCAAUGGUCACCUGUCAACUAUUGGCCCAUUUGAUGGUGGGUCAAUGCCCCAAUCAAUGGCUCCAGUAUUACCAAGGACAAAACAUCAUCAACCAUUCCCUUAGAACAGCUUUCCCCAACUGCUGCCCUCCAGUUGGGUUGAACUAAAACAUCCAGCAUGCCCCAGUACAUUGAAAAGGCACCAGUUUGAGCAAGGCUGCCUUAGAAUCAUGAGAUGGGUGUAGUACCACUUUCCAGGUGUAUUUACACCUUCUGCCCAUUCUCUUACCCAGAUACAGUACCUUUCGUAUUGUAUAUUCUAGAUUAUCAACUCUGGUAUAGGCUUUCUUCUGGCCUUCUCCUCUACCUCUUAUUCACCUGGAUCUCUUUCUUUUCAGUCUGAAUUAUCUAGGAUUCCCAACUUCCCUUGGGCCACAGCUAGACCUAAGGUUUAUCCUUGGAUCAUCCAGGGUUCGCCCCUGCCUGAGCACUGGAUCCCCUGUGUGUCACCUAGAUGAACAGGUUUGACCCCUGGACGAUCCAGGGAUAAACCUUAGGUCUAGCUAUGGCCUUGGUCUGCUGCCCAUAUUCUCCAACACGUCACAGAUGAAAACAAAGGUAUAACACCCCUAGUUUCUUACCCUAAAUUGCUACCCAAGCCUUCCAAUGGGCUCCCAUGUCCCUCGGUGAUCAUUGGGAUCAUCUUUUGCCCCCCGACUGUGGAAUGAUCACCCCAAUGAGGCUCGCCUGGCGCCAACUUUGUUAUCUUUUCGGCGCCAGGUCAAGACUUUUCUCUUCUCCCAGGCAUUUUAACAGCAUUUAACAACAUUAAGUUUGUUUUUAAUGGACCCCAGAAUUGUUGUUUUUAAAUGGAUACUGUUGUUUUAUACUGUUUUUAUGUUUUUUUUAAUUUUUGUAUACUUUUAAUGUUUACUAUUUUUAAUUGUUGUAAACCGCCCAGAGAGCUUCGGCUGUGGGGCGGUAUAUAAAUGUAAUAAAAUAAAUAAAUAAAUAAAUAAAUAACCAGCCAAUCACCACCAGCCAUUUCAUCACAACCACAAAUUAUUUAAUGUUUGUUUUAAUUGUGACUGCUUUUCAAAAACAGGUGAACCAACGAAUCAAAUUAAUCCAGUUCUGCCUUUUCGCUGCUGUUAACUGAACACAAUUAACAAGAGAUUAGUCUUGAAGCACCAGUGUACCAUUUCUUAACAACAUAAAAUAGGAACAUUCCUUGGAUUUUCACCAGAACUAUCCCCAUAAAUGUUUUGUGGCCAUGUUGAAAGUGAGUUGAAUGUUUCAGUUUUAGCAUCAUUUCGUUGCUUGUGGCAGCUGAUUGGAAACAAAUUUAGCCUCACAGUAAACCAAACCCUAUAAAAUGUAAGACUAAGGCAUAGAACCAGCUAUAUUGUAGACAAUGUCAAAUGAACAUGAGCUAAUAAAUGACUGCCAUCAGAUGAUAGCCCAAUCUAUAAAACCGUAAUAUAAGAUGGCCCCCAUAACAUCGAACUACAAGCUGUGUAUUUAAUGAAUUGUGCAUAUUUUGCUCGAUACAUGGAAUGAAGAUGGCUUUCCAAUGUUAUUGAGUGAAGAGAAGCCAUCAGCAUCAUUAAAGAUUGUGGAAAUAC